rnacentral:rRNA from 1 species
GAGUUUGAUCUUGGCUCAGGAUGAACGCUAGCGGCAGGCUUAAUACAUGCAAGUCGAGGGGCAGCAGGUGUAGCAAUACAUGCUGGCGACCGGCAAACGGGUGCGGAACACGUACAGAACCUUCCUUUAAGUGGGGGAUAGCCCAGGGAAACUUGGAUUAAUACCCCUUAACAUUAUGUGAUGGCAUCAUUAUAUAAUUAAAGCUCCGGCGCUUAAAGAUGGCUGUGCGGCUGAUUAGGUAGUUGGCGGGGUAACAGCCCACCAAGCCUGCGAUCAGUAACUGGUGUGAGAGCACGACCAGUCACACGGGCACUGAGACACGGGCCCGACUCCUACGGGAGGCAGCAGUAAGGAAUAUUGGGCAAUGGACGCAAGUCUGACCCAGCCAUGCCGCGUGAAGGAUGACGGCCCUCUGGGUUGUAAACUUCUUUUAAUCUGGGACGAAAAAGGGGAAUUCUUUCUCAACUGACGGUACCAGAUGAAUAAGCACCGGCUAACUCCGUGCCAGCAGCCG